rnacentral:misc_RNA from 1 species
GAUGAAGAACGUAGCGAAAUGCGAUAAGUAAUGUGAAUUGCAGAAUUCAGUGAAUCAUCGAAUCUUUGAACGCAUCUUGCGCUCCUUGGUAUUCUGAGGAGCAUGCCUGUUUGAGUGUCAUUAAAUUCUCAACUACACUGACUUUGAAUUGGUGUGGCUUGGAUUUGGGGGGAAAAUUGUUGUGGGCUUUUUGUAUAGUCUGCUCCCCUGAAAUUGAUUAGCGGUACCUUUGUGGAACUGUCUACAGGUGUGAUAAUUAUCUACAUCUUAGACAUCUGCUGGAAUGCUGCUUUCUAAACCUUACUUGUAUUGACAAUCUUGACCUCAAAUCAGGUAGGACUACCCGCUGAACUUAAGCAUAUCAAUAGGCGGAGGA